CCCCUUGACCAUGAAGAACUGAUCCAGUACAUCAUCACCGGACUUGGAGAAGGCUACAGCGAGGUUGUUUCUGCCGUGUACGCACGGGUGGAACCGAUCUCGGUUGGGGAGCUGUAUUCACAGGUUCUCAAUUUUGAGG
rnacentral:snoRNA from 1 species